UGAGUGUUGUGGGGAAUGGUACGCUGCG
rnacentral:sRNA from 1 species